rnacentral:rRNA from 1 species
AUGAUCAGUUCAGUAACUUUUAGUUACGAUGCCUGCAACAUUGGGAUUUAUAUACAAUGUUCUUUAUCCUUCCAUACUUAUAUGGUUCACGCAGAUUAUGGACACCCAAUACUAUUCACAAAUAACGCUCUAAUAUUGUCGUUCAGCAUUUCCCAUGGAAAACAGGAGGAUUUCAAUUUGCUAGGGCUCAUAGAAUGUCACAAGAAAGAUGAUUUUUGGAUUAAACUUGAUAUCGAUCAGACUGGUUUAUAUAAAGUGAUGAUGAGGAACUUGCAUCACGACUUAGGCAUGCAGUUGAGACCAACACACUUGAGUGCAAUAGACAGAUAUGGUAGAACUCUUGCAUGGUUUCUUACAACUGUACAAGUCUUCUCCUAUUGA